AAGUCGUAACAAGGUUUCCGUAGGUGAACCUGCGGAAGGAUCAUUAACACGUAUCCAACGUUAAACCCCCCGUGAACCUUCAUUGUGCUCCCCCAUUCCGUUAGGACGCGGCAAUCCCUGGUAAAUCAUCGCCGAACAGUUUUGAUUCAGGGACCUCUGCAUGGAGUGGGCAGCAGCGCGAGGCAAGUGGCCUGGCAUUCGAAAGAAUGGCGCAGUAACGAUCGCUAGAGUCACUGGGCUCACGCCCCCCUAUCACCUUUGCAUGAAAACGGGCCUGCGCUUAAUUGUGCGGCCACCAAACUCGAACAACUGUUAACAAUGGAUAUCUUGGUUCUC
rnacentral:misc_RNA from 1 species